UUGAACUUGCAAAACAUGUUGUCCAGAAUUGUCGGCAUCUUCAAUAUCAGAUGUAUCCAUUAGUUUGUGUCCUGAAUACAUUAUUUUUUACCUGAACCAAAUCGCGGCGCAUCAACCCCAAUUCUUGGCGUUCCUUUUUUGCUUUUGAAAGUUGUUUGAAUACCAAUAUUACUUCUAACAACAUUCAUUGAUUGUGCACGGUUUCACUCAAAAGUGACAGUAAUCAAUUAUCAAUCUAAAGAAAUAGCUUUACUUUGAUCGACAUCUACAACCUUUCUUUUUUCAUUUAGUAUUUAUCUUGCAUCACUUUGAUACUUUUCACUAUCGAUGGUACCUUUUGAAGCAACUUCAAUGGUAUCAUCAAUUUGUUAGUUAUCUUGAUUUCUUUUCGAGAUCAACGAUAGCUUUCUUCAUCAUGAUCUUGGUGCUUACAAUAAUUGCAAUACUAAGGUAGAUUAUCAUAUACAAUCUCCUUAAAAAUCUCGAUCAACAUCUCAGAUUUUCCAUCCAUAAACUGCAAUCUUAUACGAUUUGGAAGUUCUUCCAUUAGAUCAAGUAUAAUCUUGACUCUAGCUGUGCUAGGUCUUGAUUUUAUUUGAGUAGCUUUAUCUAUAACUAUUGGUUUUCCAACUACCGAUGCUAUAGAUAGUAGAGACUUCUUUACAAAUAAAUCUGGAGAUAAGUUUGGUAAAGAAAUUCAAACCACAUUUAAUGUUGUUUUCUUCUUAGGAUUAUAUUCAAUGGAUCAAGAGAAACCCCUAUAUUGGUGCUCCUCUCCAUUUUAUAUAAGAUAAUUAACUGAGCGAGAUAAAGCUAGUACAUAAUCUUCAUAUUGAUCAAAUCUCAACAAAAUUUGUCUUGGAGCAAGUAAGUCAAUUAAACAAUUGUCCUUUGUACCAAAAUGUUUCGGUAAAAUUGACUUUAAUACCUCCAAAUUUAGCGUACCAUGGGAUAAUUUAAGUACAACUGUUUGAUACAAUCCCACUUCAAUCAUACAAUCUUGCCUUUCCUCCAUUGAAAACGUGACAGUGGGUUCUCCAUGAAUUAUUUCGAUUGAUUUUGGCGAUUGUUUUUGAGUUAAUUAGGGCAUAUUAUUUACAAUUUAUAGUGUUGGAAUUGAAAAAGGUGGCGUAUGUGUUAGGGCGGAUUCGACAGCCUCGAAAGGAAGUCAUCCAGUGGUCGUAGCAGCCAUGAGAGCUGCGAGCUGUUGGCUAGGAAGGAAACUCUAGAUUUCAAGUCAGAUACACAUUGAUAUAUGUUUUUUAUACCAAAUACACGAAAAUGGGAA